rnacentral:rRNA from 1 species
GACGAACGCUGGCGGCGUGCUUAACACAUGCAAGUCGAACGGAAAGGCCCUGCUUUUGUGGGGUGCUCGAGUGGCGAACGGGUGAGUAACACGUGAGUAACCUGCCCUUGACUUUGGGAUAACUUCAGGAAACUGGGGCUAAUACCGGAUAGGAGCUCCUGCUGCAUGGUGGGGGUUGGAACGUUUCGGCGGUUGGGGAUGGACGCGCGGCUUAUCAGCUUGUUGGUGGGGUAGUGGCUUACCAAGGCUUUGACGGGUAGCCGGCCUGAGAGGGUGACCGGGCACAUGGGGACUGAGAGACGGCCCAGACUCCUACGGGAGGCAGCAGUGGGGAAUAUGGCACAAUGGGCGGAAGCCUGAUGCAGCAACGCCGCGUGCGGGAUGACGGCCUUCGGGUUGUAAACCGCUUUCGCCUGUGACGAAGCGUGAGUGACGGUAAUGGGUAAAGAAGCACCGGCUAACUACGUG